GGGCCCGCACAAGCGGUGGAGUAUGUGGUUUAAUUCGAUGCAACGCGAAGAACCUUACCAGGGUUUGACAUCCUGCGAAUCUCUUGGAAACAGGAGAGUGCCUUCGGGAACGCAGUGACAGGUGGUGCAUGGCUGUCGUCAGCUCGUGUCGUGAGAUGUUGGGUUAAGUCCCGCAACGAGCGCAACCCACGUCUUUAGUUGCCAGCAUUUAGUUGGGCACUUUAAAAGAACUGCCAGUGAUAAGCUGGAGGAAGGUGGGGAUGACGUCAAGUCCUCAUGGCCCUUAUGUGUUGGGCUACACACGUGCUACAAUGGUGGAGACAGAGAGUUGCCAACCCGCGAGGGUGAGCUAA
rnacentral:rRNA from 1 species